GGCUACGUAGCUCAGAGGCAGAGCGGGCGCUUCAUAAGCGCUAGGUCACAGGUUCGAGCCCUGUCGUAGCCA
rnacentral:tRNA from 1 species